UAACAUGUUACCUUAUCAAGAGAAUAAAGAAGGUGAUGGAUGAAAAUGGAAAGAAGGCAAUGGAAGCCUCCUGAGAUGAUAUCCUUCAUUGAUCUCUUCUGUUAACACAUAAAAUUUGAACACAUUCUAAUCCAGAUGAACCUCAAGGCAAAAGAUACAUGUUUGUUUGCUUUUUAUUUCAUCAUCCCAGUCAAUAUGGUAUUGUGGUAUUAAUAUUAUGUUUCCAAUCAGCCAGAUAGGUUAAGCAAUUCAUUUGCAUAGGAUGGGUAGUAUGAAAGGUAAAGUGUAAAUUCUCCGAGUCUUCUAGCUUGUCAGUGAAGACUUUGAAGAGCAGAGUCCCUGCAUCUUUGUUGCAGGCACAAACUUUUCAACGGGGUUCAUUGUGAUCUAGGUAUGUUAGGUGUCAAAAUUGUUAUCGAGAUUUGAUGCAGCAAUGUAGUCUAAUUAGUACUGGAGUCGCAUCACAGCCCAAACAGCUACCUUACCAACUUUAGAAUCACCUUUCCAUCAUAUAAAGUGUAAUAGUUUACAAUACCCAAGGUGCUUGUAGGUGUUUAAGAGUAACACAUUUUAACUACAAGCUUCAU